rnacentral:misc_RNA from 1 species
AAUUAUCAACCUUGCUCGCUUUUACCGGCUUGAGUGAGGCUUGGAUGUGAGGGCUUUGCUGGCUUCCUUCAGUGGACGGUCUGCUCCCUUUAAAUGCAUUAGUGGGAUCUCUUGUGGACCGUCACUUGGUGUGAUAAUUAUCUAUGCCACUUGACUUUGAAGCAAACUUAUGGGAACCUGCUUAUAACCGUCUCUUCGGGGACAAUCUAUUGACA